rnacentral:misc_RNA from 1 species
AAAAAAAAAAAAAAAAAGAAAGGAUGGUUGAUUAUUAUGAUGAUCGCUCUUAUUUUGCAGCCUGCUGGGGCUCCCUCUUCGCCAAAGAAGGAAAUGUACACUUUUUCUCAUACUCUUGAUGAAUUCAUUUUUAGUUUUUACUGGGUAAUAACUCUUAUUUCUUUCACUUUUGCUGGUUUUAAAUCCUAGCUUUUCUCAUUUAUUGUUUUGCUUUUACAUUACAAUACCACAGGCCUAAAGGAUUUGUUUUGUGAUGAGAGGAUGGGCUAUUUUGAGUAUGCAAAGGAAAUGACGGUUGAAGCACAUGAUUCUUGUUUGACCAAUAACGUAACAAUAACCAAGAUAAACUCUUUCCUUGAAGAUGCAUUGCAUUCCUCAUGUGAAGGAAUUAUGGUGAAAUCUUUAGAUGUUCAUGCGGAAUAUUCUCCAUCAAAACGUACCGACACAUGGCUGAAGGUUUUUCACAUACAGAGUAUUAUUUUAUUAUUAUACUACCUAAGGAACAAAAUGAAUAUGAUUUUUCAUGGAUGGUCUCCUUUGCAGGUCAAGCGAGAUUAUGUGGAAGGACUGAAUGACUCGCUUGAUUUAGUCCCUAUUGGUGCUUGGCAUGGGAAUGGGAGAAAAGCAGGAUGGUAUAGUCCAUUUCUCAUGGCAUGUUACAACCCUGAGACUGAGGACUUUCAGAGUGUUUGCCGUGUCAUGUCUGGGUUCUCAGAUGCAUUUUACACUAAGGUGAAAGAGUUCUUUUCUGAAGAUAAGAUUUUGUUGAAAAAGCCGUCUUACUACCAAACUUCCGAGGUGCCAGAUUUGUGGUUUUCUCCAGAACUUGUUUGGGCAAUACGUGGUGCAGACUUGACAGUUUCACCAGUUCACCAUGCUGCUAUAGGUUUAGUUCAUCCAUCCCGUGGCAUCUCAAUGAGAUUUCCAAGAUUUAUCUGCUCUGUGUCAGAUAGAAAUGCAGAGGAAUGUAGCACAGCUGCAGAUAUUGCAGAAAUGUUUAAUUCUCAAACGCGGAAGAUGAAUGUAACAGGCACAGCUACCAAUUAACUCUUGACUUUUUAGCAAUUAUGUAAAUAGUUUGAAAAUUUGUAGAAGUGUGAAAAAAGGACGAUCUAGUUCCACAUGGUUGUUUUAGGGACUGACUUUUUAAUUGAAACACCAUGACCAUAAUGCGAUAAACAAUGCUAUAUAACGAGG